CCAAUAACUUGAGCCAGCCAAGAAGCGAAUUCCCCAAUUUCUUACAAUCGGUGACAAGUUAUCAUUUCUUAAAUGGAAAAUUAUAAUCUAACCCCACUGCUACCUGGAAGAAAACGUUGCUAUCAAGUGUCUAAAAAAGAAAAGUAAAAGACAGAGGAAAGGUUUGCCCCUAAUCUAUAGAAGGCUAUAAUAAAAUAAUAAUAAAGCCUUAUGGGCAUUGAAUAACAUUAUGAUCAAGUUGUUCUUAUGUGUUGAAGUUGCCGGAAAUGCAUCUGGGCCGUUACAUUACUUGGAUCAGAAGCAACAACAGCAGUUUGAUCCUCACCUUUCUUCAUGUUUUCUCCGGAGAUUGAAAGCUUGUCUGAAAUAGAAGAAAAAAAGAGAUGAACAAGAGAGCCCACAACAAGGGGAAGAGAUGAGCAUAUGAUUGCAGCCUGUCUGAUGUUCAUAGCUUAUGAUUGAAAAUAAAAUGGCUUGCUCUUCUGGUUUUCUGGACUUGGAUCAAACAAUAGCUCAAUUUGGAGAUUGUUGUUAUGUGGUGUAUUGGGUAGAAUUUAUAAUGGAGAGUGGAGCGGAG
rnacentral:lncRNA from 1 species